CCUACGGGGGGCAGCAGUGGGGAAUAUUGCGCAAUGGGCGAAAGCCUGACGCAGCGACGCCGCGUGAGGGAUGAAGGUCUUCGGAUCGUAAACCUCUGUCAGCAGGGAAGAACGGUCACUGUGCUAAUCAGCAGUUAAUUGACGGUACCUGCAAAGGAAGCACCGGCUAACUCCGUGCCAGCAGCCGCGGUAAUACGGAGGGUGCGAGCGUUAAUCGGAAUUACUGGGCGUAAAGCGGUCGUAGGCUGUAUGGCAAGUCAAGGGUGAAAACCCCGCGCUCCAAGUGGGAACUGCCGUUGAAACUGGGGAUCUAGAGUGUGAGAGAGGUAUGCGGAAUGCGUGGUGUAGCGGUGAAAUGCAUAGAUAUCACGCAGAACCCCGAUUGCGAAGGCAGCAUACCGGUGCCCAACUGACGCUGAGGCACGAAAGCGUGGGUAUCGAACAGGAUUAGAUACCCGUGUAGUC
rnacentral:rRNA from 1 species